rnacentral:misc_RNA from 1 species
AACGCAAAUUGCGCUCGAGGCCUCGGCUAAGAGCAUGUCUGGCUCAGCGUCGGCUUACUACCCUCAAUCAAUUACCUUGUGAUGAUUGGUUGGAGCUGGCUUUCCGGUGUUCCAAUCAGGUUGCCGGUCAGCUGAAAAACAUUCACGCUGUGGAAGUCGCUUUCCCUUCAAAAAGGAAAGCCGAGUUCCGAUUUGGUAGGUGACCUUUGCCGGUUGCAUGCCUUCGUUGCUCGUUUUGGCUUUCAUGAUAGCGUGUGCAGGACGCCAUUUCGGCUUUCGACCUGAGCUCAGGCAAGAACACCCGCUGAACUUAA